rnacentral:tRNA from 1 species
UCCCCGAUAGCUCAGUUGGUAGAGCAGCGGACUGUUAAUCCGCCUGUCGCUGGUUCGAGUCCAGCUCGGGGAG